UAGGUCAUAAUAUCUGGAAUGAUUUAUGGUUUAAAUCUAUAUGGCCUCUGGAUUGGACUGCGGCCGAUCAGGCUGUUGGUGAGGUAAUGGCCCACCAAACCUAAAACCGGUACGGGCUCUGAGAGGAGAAGCCCGGAGAUGGGCACUGAGACAAGGGCCCAGGCCCUAUGGGGCGCAGCAGGCGCGAAAACUCUGCAAUAAGCGAAAGCUUGACAGGGUUAUUCUGAGUGAUUUCCGCUAAGGAAAUCUUUUGGCACCUCUAAAAAUGGUGCAGAAUAAGGGGUGGGCAAGCCUGGUGUCAGCCGCCGCGGUAAUACCAGCACCCCGAGUGGUCGGGACGAUUAUUGGGCCUAAAGCAUCCGUAGCCGGUUCUACAAGUCUUCCGUUAAAUCCACCUGCUUAACAGAUGGGCUGCGGAGGAUACUAUGGAGCUAGGAGGCGGGAGAGGCAAGCGGUACUUAGUGGGUAGGGGUAAAAUCCGUUGAUCCAUUGAAGACCACCAGUGGCGAAGGCGGCUUGCCAGAACGCACUCGACGGUGAGGGAUGAAAGCUGGGGGAGCAAACCGGAUUAGAUACCCGGGUAGUCCCAGCUGUAAACGAUGCAGACUCG
rnacentral:rRNA from 1 species